rnacentral:rRNA from 1 species
AAAGAAAAUAACAAUGAUUCCCCUAGUAACGGCGAGCGAAGAGGGAAUAGCUCAAAUUUUAAAUCUGUUGGGUCUUACCUAACCGAGUUGUAAUUUGAAGAAACGUUUUCUGCGUGUUUGAUUUAGCCCAAAUCCUUUGGGAUAAGGUAUCAUGGAGGGUGAGAAUCCCGUCCGGCCUAAUCAAAUGUGCUUUUACGAUACGUUUUCUAAGAGUCGAGUUGUUUGGGAUUGCAGCUCAAAAUGGGAGGUAAAUUUCUCCUAAGGCUAAAUAUAGGCGAGAGACCGAUAGCGAACAAGUACCGUGAGGGAAAGAUGAAAAGAACUUUGAAAAGAGAGUUAAACAGUACGUGAAAUUGUUGAAAGGGAAACGAUUAAAGUCAGUCGUACUAACGGGGAAUCAACCUUUUGAGGGUGGAAUUGUGGGAUUCAGAGUGCCUUUGUCUUUCACAACCUGCUUUUUUUGGGUGCACUUUCUCGUAUUGUAGGUCAGCAUCGGUUUCGACCGUUAUAAAAUGACUGGAGGAAUGUAGCUUCGAUCUCGUAUUGAAGUGUUAUAGCCUUUGGUAGAUGUAACGGAUGGGAUCGAGGAUUGCAAUGAAUACCCUCAUGGGCUAUCCGCCUGGCCUCUGACAUGUCACUCUGGUGCUGAAAGCUUGCUUAUGGUAUUAUAGUGUACGGUCAAAAGGUUAGAACGGAUUAAAUU